ensembl:lncRNA
ACAGUCUUUCGCUUUCGCUUGCUGCCAGGGAGAGGAGUGGGUGUGCUUUCAAGCCAUGCGCCUUCAUCAAUUCUUGCAGAUAUUACUGACUUGAAAAUGAAUUCCAGAUGGCAAUGGAUCUACGAGGACAGCAAAGUUCCUCCUCCAUUUCCAAAGGAGAACCUGAAAAGGGGUAUUAAUCUCAAGUGGAUCAGAGGAACCAUCGGAGGAACUAUACUAUUUGCAUCAGAAGCAGUCUACAGACUCCCACUACUUCAAGCGUGUCUGACAGCAGAAGGCCCCAUGGAUUAGAUGCCAGCUGGCUGGAUACUGUAUUUAAGUUAAGCAUAUGUUAAUCAAGCUAUAGGUAGGAGAUACAAUCCAGUCAGUUAGCUGUUGAAACUAAACAUACUGGUUUAUAAGGAUGUAUUGUUAGGGCCAAGAAAAUAAGUAUUUACAACCUCCAAUUUGUAGUUCUAUUGACUCAUGUUGGGAAACACCAUGCUUGGCAGAGCCUGCCAAACCAGGCUGAGACUGUGCAGACUGCACUGCUGAUGUAUUAAAUGUAUAUCUAAUUCAAGAUGUGACUUGUAAUUAAAACUUAAUUGUCAGAAAGCAUAAGCAUUUGAAAUUAUUCCUUUUACAUUACUAAAGUGAUCUUUAGAAAUGUCUGAAACUCAGUCCCUCAUUAUCCCUCUUCCCUUCCCUUUGAGUGUUUUGAGGUGAAACAUGGAUUAGAAAAUACUGAACAGGCUAGAGAGAAUCACAAUAUAUUUUCAAAAUCAGUAAUAUUCUUUUUUAAAUUUAAGUACUAAACUUUAUUUUCCUCCAGGUAAUUCCAAUUUUUUUUUUUUUUUUUUUUUUUGUGAAGGAAAAAAUAAAAUAAUUACUUGCAUAAACAAAACUGUUCUUUGAUUUUCCAUCUUCCAGACACUUUAAGAAUACUAAUGCAUGAAAAUAAUUAGAUAUGAUUUUAUCUAAGAAACAAUUUUCCUUAUGUUGAUCAUGAAAUGCAUUCAAAAUAAAGAAAUCAGCUUCUGUAAGUUCUACAGAAAUUAAUUACUUCUACAAAAGAAUGUUUUCACAAAAGCAGUAAAAUUUCCUGCCCAAAGCACUUCAGAAGUGCAAAUCAAUGUAUAAAUCUAAAGUAUUCUCACUCACAAUUCAAUAAAUUAUUCUAUGUAGUUAUUUUACAGAAUAGUUUCACUUCAGAAUUCAAUAGAGCAGAUGACAAUAAAUGCCGCAACCUUAUUCCAAGAAAACUGAAUAUUUCACAGGGUUAGCAGCUGUGGCUUAUAAGUGUUGCUGUUUGAAAGACCACAGUAGGAUGUAAAGAGAAAAAGAGCUGGUCAUUUCUCUCCUUUUAGUAAUUUUAAUAUGUUGAAAUGUUCUGUAAAAGUAGAACUAAAAUUAAAAAUAAAAUCUUAAAAUGAUUAAGAC